AGUGAACGCUGGCGGUAGGCCUAACACAUGCAAGUCGAACGGCAGCACAGUAAGAGCUUGCUCUUACGGGUGGCGAGUGGCGGACGGGUGAGGAAUACAUCGGAAUCUACUUUUUCGUGGGGGAUAACGUAGGGAAACUUACGCUAAUACCGCAUACGACCUACGGGUGAAAGCAGGGGAUCUUCGGACCUUGCGCGAUUGAAUGAGCCGCUGUCGGAUUAGCUAGUUGGCGGGGUAAAGGCCCACCAAGGCGACGAUCCGUAGCUGGUCUGAGAGGAUGAUCAGCCACACUGGAGGUGAGCCACGGUCCAGAGUACUGCGGGAGGCAGCAGUGGGGAAUAUUGGACAAUGGGCGCAAGCCUGGUCCAGCCAUACCGCGUGGGUGAAGAAGGCCUUCGGGUUGUAAAGCCCUUUUGUUGGGAAAGAAAAGCAGCAGGUUGAUACCCCGCUGUUCUGACGGUACCCAAAGAAUAAGCACCGGCUAACUUCGUG
rnacentral:rRNA from 1 species